rnacentral:rRNA from 1 species
AAUAGAUACCCCGGUAGUCCAUGCCGUAAACGAUGUCUACUAGCCGUUGGGGCCUUUGAGGCUUUAGUGGCGCAGCUAACGCGAUAAGUAGACCGCCUGGGGAGUACGGUCGCAAGACUAAAACUCAAAUGAAUUGACGGGGGCCCGCACAAGCGGUGGAGCAUGUGGUUUAAUUCGAUGCAACGCGAAGAACCUUACCUGGUCUUGACAUAGUAAGAACUUUCCAGAGAUGGAUUGGUGCCUUCGGGAACUUACAUACAGGUGCUGCAUGGCUGUCGUCAGCUCGUGUCGUGAGAUGUUGGGUUAAGUCCCGCAACGAGCGCAACCCUUUUCCUUAUUUGCCAGCGGGUUAAGCCGGGGAACUUUAAGGAUACUGCCAGUGACAAACUGGAGGAAGGCGGGGACGACGUCAAGUCAUCAUGGCCCUUACGACCAGGGCUACACACGUGCUACAAUGGUCGGUACAAAGGGUUGCUACCACGCGAGUGGAUGCUAAUCUCAAAAAGCCGAUCGUAGUCCGGAUUGGAGUCUGCAACUCGACUCC